rnacentral:misc_RNA from 1 species
AAGCUAUCACGCUCCAAAUACACAGAAAACCUAGCUCACCAGUACUCACCACCGCUCUCCUUAGCUGUAAGAUUGGUGCAGUUGAAGCAGGAAAGCUCCGUCAAGAGCGCCUGCGCUCUGUAUAGAAGAUGUUGAAGGCGAAGACAUUCAAAGGAGCGAACGUCUUCAUGUCCAGGAACCUGGUGCCGCCGGAGGUCUUCGACGCUCUUCUUGAUGCUCUUAAGCAUAACGGUGCCGAAGUCUUUCUCUGCUGCGAUCCUUCGCGGAAUGGUUCCAACGAUUAUCACAUCAUCUCCUCUCCUGAUCACGAGAAAUUCGAGGAUCUCAGGACUAAGGGCUGUAAUUUGCUAGGUCCUCAGUGUGUGCUUUCAUGUGCAAAAGAACAUAGAGCACUGCCUAAACAAGGCUUCACAUGUUGCCUUGCAAUGGAUGGUGUCAAAGUACUGGCAUCCGGCUUUGAAAUGGAUGAAAAGGUCAAGAUAGAAAAGUUGAUAACAGCAAUGGGUGGUCAGUUGCAUGCUAAGGCAUCUUUGGAUGUUAGUUUCAUCAUUGUAAAGAAUGUUUUGGCUGCGAAGUACAAGUGGGCUGUAAAUGUUCUGAAGAAACCAAUUGUAACUAUUAAUUGGUUAUAUCAAUGCUGGAAUGAGCACCGUGUUGUUCCUCAAGAGUCACACAGGGUCCUUCCCUUUUCUGGAUUAACGAUAUGUGUCACCAGAAUACCUGCAGAUGAGCGGAAGGAGAUUGAAAGAAUCAUCACACAAAAUGGUGGGAAAUACUCUGCUGAGCUGACCAAGAAGUGCACACAUUUGAUCUGUGAUGCUCCUGAAGGUGACAAGUACAAGGUUGCUAGAAGAUGGGCCCACAUUCAUAUUGUAACUCGGAAAUGGUUUGAUCAAUCUGUUGCUAGACGAGCAUGUCUUAAUGAGGAGUCUUAUCCGGUUCAAGGUGGUUCUGUAUCUUCAAAUAAAAAUUUGAAGUGUUCCUCAAUGGCACAGCCUAUCCAAGAAAAGUAUAUUGCAAAUUCACUAUCUGUGCAGUCCUCCAUUGCUGCAGAAUCCAGUUUGCCAGCUUUUCCUUGUGCAGUUCCUGAGUCAGAUUUAGAAGCUGCUCUCUCACAGAACAUGUCUUCUAUGUUUCCAGAUCCUGUCUUUAUGCAAGUUGGGGAUGAUGAAAUGCCUGCAGUGAACCUCACAAAUGAAACAAACCUUGACAGUUGUAUUGCCAAUGACUCUCAAUCUGAAGAUAGUGAACUCUACUUGUCAGAGUGUAGAAUAUCGCUUGUUGGCUUUGAAGCUUCUGAGUUACGUAAAUUAGUUAAUAUGGUGCGUAGAGGUGGGGGUUCUCGGUAUAUGUCAUUCAAUGAUAAAUUGACGCACAUUGUAGUUGGAGCUCCAACAGAGGUUGAAAAAAAGGAACUAAGGGGCCUUGCUGCCUUCGGUGUUAUUAAUGUGGUUAGACCAACCUGGCUUGAAGAUUGUGAUCAUGAAAAGAAAGAAAUCCCUGUUCUCAGGAAGCAUAUUGCCUAUGAUUUACUUCUUCCUAAAGAUCCUGCGAACUCCAUUAAAGGAGCAGUAGUUGGCAUGGCUAGUAUAAAUCAAGGUAAAGUCUCCAAUACCCAUUCAAGCAUUCGCUCAGAUCAUGUAAUGGUUGGUGCAAACUUUGGCAAUGGGAUGGCUUCAUUGUUGGAGAAAAACAGAGAAGAGAAACCAGAAAUCAACCUGAAAGGGCGAAUAUCUUUGGAAGCGACUUUGAGACAGUCCCAACAGAACCUGUUAUCUGUUGUUGAUGAUCAAAAGAAGGGUGGAAAGCAACAUGAUUCCAGGGAUCAAAAUAAGAGGCCACUAUCUGUUUUUAAGGGGAAAACAUUUCGCUUUUCAAACUCCUUUCCUGAAGAUAGGAGAGCUGAAAUUGUUCAGUGGGUGAGUCAAGGGGGAGGGGAGAUGGUGGAAGAUCAUGUAAAACAGAAUGUGCAUUUUACCAUUGAGUGCCAUGGUGUGAUACCAAGGUCUGUCGAUGUUCCCCAAACUACUUAUGUAUCCAGUCAUUGGGUCAGAUCUUGUUUAGAGGAUGGAUGCCUGCUGGACGUUGGUGGUCAUAUUAUAUAUUCCCCACUUCCUUGCCAGAUUCCUUUGCCUGGCUUUGAAAGCUUCAGGUUUUGCAUCUCACAGUAUGAAGAGAGAGAAAGAUUACUAUUAAGAAACUUGUGCUUUGUUCUUGGAGCUAAAUUUGUGGAGAAACUGACCAGAAAGGUCACCCAUCUAUUAUGCAAGUUUACCAAUGGACCAAAAUAUGAGGCUGCUUGUAAGUGGGGCAUAUGCUCGAUUACUUCUGAGUGGAUUUAUGAGUGUGCCAGGCAGAAUGAAGUUGUCACAGUGGAUCAAUUUCGGCCAAAAGUAGUUACUUCUCAAGACCAGGAUGCAGGUUUGUGCACUGUGAGCCAGUUUCCUACUCAGGCUGAUCGAAUGAUAUCUGGAGAGAGCCCAUCUCAACUUAUAAGCCAGUCACAAGACCUUAGAACUGCACCAAGUCUGACUGGUGGUGGUAGAAUUAACAGCUUUAGGGAAGAGCUCCAAAAAUCCAGUGAUUAUACUAAAAAGGCAAGACUUUUGGAAAGUGAUGACCAAAAGGAGCUGCUUUCUUCUGGAGUUCAUUUAGAUGAUUCUGUCAGCAACAUAAAUCCCAUUAGAGGCAAAAAUCCAAAAGAUAAUGGAGAAUCUUCUCACAGCGUUCCUGAUGUAGCAGCUGCUAUCGAAGACUUACUAGAGCAGACAAGCAAGGUUAUAUUAUUAAUGACUCUUCAAUUGCUUUUUUGAUGUUUAGUUUAUUGAUUACUUUAUUCUGUCUUACCUUCAGAUACAUGAUCAGAAGUCACCAGGGAGGACUGGGUGUGAUAAAAAUGUAUCCUAUAUUAUGAUUGUUCUUUUUCACAUAUAAUAUUAGAUCUGUUCUUCUGUCUAAUCCUUGAUGGUGGAACAGCUUUAUUCUUCUGAUACGGUGCUUGGUGAAGAACAUGGCUCUCACUCUGUCAUUGGGUUACCUAAGCACUGGUUAAAUAGAACUGGAAAAAGAGACGAGUUAUCUAAUCCUUCUAGAGAUUUAAAUAGAGGAAUGUAUGAUGGGUUCAGUGAAACUCAAACAGAGUCUCAGGUUGUUGGCUAUGAAGAAGAUUUGUCGGGCAGGCAAAUGCUUAUAGAUAGAGUUCGAACCCGAAGUAGCAUGGCCUAAAGUGGAAUGGGGGCUCCCUGUAAAAUUUAUAUGGCAGUUGACAACACCAUAUGCUGAGAUGAAGGUUUGAUGGCAAAUCUAAGGUUGUUUGGCCUGUCAAGGUGAAUUUUUAAUGCCUUGCAUCAAUUCCAAAAUCAACCUUGCUAAGAUGGGUGGUAAAGAUUAGGCAGGGCUUAGAUGGCAUUUGUAUUAUGUAUACCUAGAUAGUUUUGAGUCAAUUAUAAUAUGAUGAUGUACGCAGCUUGUGAAGUAACAUUUUAUAUAAUUAGGCUGUGAAUGUCAUUUCAAGGAUUUUGCAUGAAAUACGUGAUGUAUUGUAUUGGUUCAGAUAAUCCUAAUCGGGAGUAGUUUUUUGAAUUUGACAUUACUCCAUUCUGCUAAGCUCGAAUCAACAUAAUAGGAACAG